ACUUCCACUCCCCCAUAUGUCUUAUGGCACAGUGCUUAACUAAUUAAGCACAAGGACAACUUUACUUUUUACCUUAUAUGAGCCAUUAAUAUAUAAUUGUGGGGCUGAAUAUGAGUCCAAAUAUGCAUAUCUGUGAUUGUCAGUCUAACUUAAAAGCAAAAUGUACACAUUAACAAGCUCCUGACUGAAUUAACUGUUGUCCAAAAGCACAAUUUUCUUACAGAUUAACUUCUUCAGCCUGAAUGCUGUGAACUGUAUAAGGACUACUUAGCUCCUGUGAUCCUUCUUUCAGUGUGAACAAAUUCUAAUAUAAAAAUUAAAAAAUACCAGUUCCAAAUUAUGAAUACUUUAAGACAAAACUUUAGCACCUUACACACUUACGUCCACCUUUAAUGCAAUUUUGUUUACAAUUUCUCCUUAAUUUAAAGUAAUAUUAAAAUUACAAUUAAAUUGCUACAUGUUUUGGCCUUACUUGACCAUCAUCAGCCAAAUGUCCAUUUGUUGAAAUUGCUACAUUGUAUUAGUUCUUAAGUUAAAAUAUUCCAAUGUUAUUGCAUUUUCGUUGUUCACAUUAAAAUACAUUUGCUUGAGAACAUUGCUCUUUAUCUUUUCUUGCAAUGUCUGUUUUUUUUGUGUUGUUCUGUUCAGCCAUAUGAAUAUUGGUGUGGUGGUGUUAUCAUUGUUAGUUCUAUGUGACCCCAUUAACAUGCAUGUUCCCACGCAGUUGCUGUAGUUGAGUGUAUGUCCCAAAGUUGCAUUAAAGACAAAGUGUGUAAAGUGAUACAGCAGUGCAACAGGAUGCUGAAAUACUAUAUUAUUAAAAGUUUAACAUACAUGCUUCUUGAAUUUGCUUUCCUACAACAUGAAAUGAAUAUGGACAAUAAAGGCUCCAUCCAUUUAACAAUUAAUAUCACAUACAAAUAAACCAUCAGUCAGUCAUAAAUUAACAUGAGUUUGUAACUGCUACUGGAAUAUUUAACCUUAAAACCUGCAACCACAAAGGUAGCUAUAAUAUGUAGUACAUAAAAAAAAGCAAUAUUUGUCUGCUCCCUUGUGUUUAAUACCUAGUAUAUAAUUACAUUCACAAGAAUAUGUAGAGAAAUUUUUGUCACAUGCUUCACAGCCCAUCUUGUUUCAUUUCAUUGUAUCCUUAUUCUGAUGUGCAUCUUCAUUUAUUUUACCAGACUGUGUAAUAUCCAAUGUAAAACUACAGACAGAAGUCAUACGUGGACAUAAUAUUAAGGGCAGACAGUUUUGCUUAUUUAAGUGCUUCUAUUUUUCAGGUUUCUACAGAUUCAAUAAAUUGAAAAGUGUCAAAUUUUCAGUGCUAUUGCAGGAUCUGCCUUCAGGGAAGAAUACUUUGAGACCUCCAGAUUUUAGUACUUCUUCAGACACUGCCUGUGCAGCUGCUGACAACUGGUGAUGUGUAUGGGACUGUCUUGUUGCCACAGCUGGCACUGCAAUAUUGAGGUUGAUUGGUUGCUGGUCAACUCCUGGAUCUCCCAGACUUUCAUCUGAAAUCGUGUGGUUGGGAGGAAGGCUGCCAGGAGCAUCCAGGUGAUCAGGAUCCAAUUCUGGGUCAUG